rnacentral:rRNA from 1 species
GACGAACGCUGGCGGCGUGCUUAACACAUGCAAGUCGAACGCUGAAGCUUGGUGCUUGCCCUGGGUGGAUGAGUGGCGAACGGGUGAGUAAUACGUGAGUAACCUGCCCUUGACUCUGGGAUAAGCCUGGGAAACUGGGUCUAAUACUGGAUACGACAUGUCACCGCAUGGUGGUGUGUGGAAAGGGUUUUACUGGUUUUGGAUGGGCUCACGGCCUAUCAGCUUGUUGGUGGGGUAAUGGCUCACCAAGGCGACGACGGGUAGCCGGCCUGAGAGGGUGACCGGCCACACUGGGACUGAGAAACGGCCCAGACUCCUACGGGAGGCAGCAGUGGGGAAUAUUGCACAAUGGGCGGAAGCCUGAUGCAGCGACGCCGCGUGAGGGAUGACGGCCUUCGGGUUGUAAACCUCUUUCAGCACGGAAGAAGCGAAAGUGACGGUACGUGCAGAAGAAGCGCCGGCUAACUACGUG